CACGUAGGCACCAAGCGUUGUCCGGAUUUAUUGGGCGUAAAGAGCUCGUAGGCGGUUCAGUAAGUCAGGUGUGAAAUCUUUGGGCUUAACCCAAAGCGUGCACUUGAUACUGCUGUGACUUGAGUUCGGUAGGGGAGUGGGGAAUUCCUAGUGUAGCGGUGAAAUGCGCAGAUAUUAGGAGGAAUACCGAUGGCGAAGGCAGGUCUCUGGGCUGACACUGACGCUCAUGCACGAAAGCGUGGGGAGCAAACAGG
rnacentral:rRNA from 1 species